ACUCCUGGCUCAAAGAAUCGCAUUCAAAGCUCACACACAGAGUGUAUCUCCAUACCUCUCAUCCAAAAUGCUUUGGGAGAAAGUCCCCGGACACCCUGCCCUUGUUUUCUUCGGAGACAUGGCUUCUGUCAGGCACUGCGGAAACGCGCCGCCAUAAAAGCAAUUCGAUAGCGGCUGACGCCUCUACUUCUCCCUUUACCCUUCGGCCUCUGCGACACUUCGUUACUGUGGUGGAAAAAAUGGCAGUGGUCGGCGGGUUGAAGAGGAGGAUUCUGUCGAGGUUGCUAUUCGUCGAGGUUGAAUAGUCAUGCGAUUGCUUGUCUUUGACAGGUAACUCAAUGGGGCUCAUUCUUGAGGCGAGGAG
rnacentral:RNase_MRP_RNA from 2 species